AAAAACAAAAUAAAGAGUUGUAUUUUGUGUGUGUGUGUGAGUAGAGGCGCACAGUUCUAAGAACAGUUGCCCUGCGGGGAAUAUCAAGUAAAGCUUUAAGACUUUAUUUGUAGGAGGAAACAAGGUUUAUCACUACAGAAUUUUAGGGACAUAAGUAGAAAUGGGAAAGGUAAUAUAAGCGUUAGAAAGGUGAAAUGGAGCUUCCCAGACUCUUUGACAUAACAAAUGGUUUAGUUAAGGAAAUUGGCAAAAUCUUGAAAUCUUAGUUGUUGCUACAGCAAACUUUUAAAAUUAAAUCAUGAGAGCCAAAAAGACUGUCCUGCUUGUGAGCACUGUGCUAUAUAACACAUUAGUCCAAUAGCACUGAUUCUUCAUCUGAGUAACUUUUUAUUUUUUAAUUGAAGGAUAAUUGCUUUACAGAAUUUUGUUUUCUGUCAAACCUCAACAUGAAUCAGCCAUAGGUAUACAUAUAUCCUCUCCCAUUUGAAACUCCCUCCCAUCUCCCUCUCCAUCCCACUCCUCUAGAUGUCCCAGAGCCCAUGAUUUCCCCCGAGUCAUACAGCAAAUUCCCAUUGGCUAUUUUACAUAUGGUAAUGUAAGUUUCCAUGCUACUGAGUAACUUUAAAGGCAACUUGAACCUUGAAAUAGAAGUGUUGAAAAAGCGAUGUCUGGAAAAAGGUGAAAUCACAAUUAUACAUCAAAGGCCACGGGAGCUAUUAUUUCAAAUUUUGUUUCAGUUGUACCAGCUUUGUGCUCACACCCAAACUCCACUGGUAGAAUCUACUGCAUGUGGGUUGGAGAAGAAUUCCAUUUAUUUUCUGCUGAAGCUGGCGAACCGAAUGAAGAUCUGUAUCUUAAGUGACAGGAAUCAAAUGAAACAUGACAAACCUGUAAAAGCUGCCACCUGAACAUGUCAAAGCAGAACUUGGCAGUGAGUGAGCUGUCACGAAGGCCUCUGACCAUUGAAGGAAAGCUGACUUCGCUGCUCGGUGCUUCUUUGCAUGGCAGAUGACAAGUUCAGGUCCCCCAGGGAAAGUGCAGGAGCGGGAGCCUGAACUGGCAUUCUAGACUCGACCACGUGUGCCCGCGUUACCCGUGACAGUCUGCUUGGCAGUCGCCCAUCGAGAAGAACCAAUAGCCACUGGGCUAAACCCGCCCCUGUUAUUUGUUCAGGAGCUCUCAGAGUUCUCAUUCCUCAGGUAGCACCUGAUAACUCAGUGGUGGUCCGACUCUAAUUCUCCAGGUUUGUCUUCCUAAAAAUAAUGAUCGCAUCACCGUCCCUCAGUCCCUGACCUUUUGAAGCUCCCUACUGAGAAUAAUAGUUCUUAAACUUUGGCAUGUGCCAGAAGCACCCCGAAGGCUUGUUACAACACAGAUCAAAGGGCCCACAGAGUUUCCAUUGAGGAGGCUCAGGCUGUCCAGAGAGAUUGGUGACAAGCUUCAUGGUGGACUCCAGCUUCUCCUGCAGGUUCCUCAGCUCAUUCUGCUCUCCUUCUGAAUCGCUGCUGACCAGGGACAUGGCUCUCAUCCUCGGGAACCAGUCUAGGUUU